ensembl:lncRNA
AUCAAAGGGUCCUGGUCAAAUAAGAGAGGCUCAGAGUUUGCCAAUCCUUACAGCCAUAAAAGCAUCCUCACAAACUGCUGCGCGGUGCUGUGCGGACCAUUCCAUCCCAGUUUGAUAGACAGAAGAGGGUUCAUCCAGCCGGAUGUGGGGACGCCAGCCAGUCCAAAGAGCGAAAUCCCGUCCUUUGGAGCCAAACCUGACACCAGCAUGGAGGAUGCCUGCCAGGACUUUGCUGUUUCCUGCACAGCCUGAUGGGACGUGCCCUCUCCUCUGCCCUUGGCCCUGCAUUCUGGGGGCUGGCUGUGUGCUCAGGGCAGCACGGAGCUCCGCAGGCCGGCGGCCCCUCUGCCCUUCUUGGUGCACCCUGGGGAAGCCAGGACCCCACGAACCUCCCGAUGACGACAGCCAUCAGCACCGCCUGUGCCUCUGCAGCGCUGUGCCUUCCUCCUUCCUGCUGGGAGAGAGGGGGGAGAGCAGCCGUGUGCAAGCCAAAGCCUUUCUGAGCCCCCCCACCCACAGCAGGGGCCAAAAAGCCAUACAGCAUCCCUCCCGAGUGCAAUACUGCGUUCCUCCUGCCUCCCCCUCACCGUGGGGACGGGCCAUAUACUGAGCCAGGGCUCCCAGCACCCAGCCCUACCUGGGGGUUCCUCCUGGGGGGGGUUGGGUUUGAGCCAGCAGCGCGUUGCCCACUGCAUCCCACUCGACCCUGUAGGAUGGUGCAUGGUCAACGCUCACCCUCCUCAUGAGCUCCCCACCCCCCGCUCCAUCACUAUGGGGCUCUGAUGGAGGGGAUGGGUCCCCUCCCCCUGUGCAAAGGGCUUCAAGCCUGGUAGGAUUCUGCCUUUUACUUUUGUAACAAAAUAAAGAUUUUCCCAUUUCCUGUCUGUCUCUGUGGUGCUGGGCUCCAUCCCACAUCCCUCGCUGCAGCUGUGUGAGUUUAGGGCCAUCUGUGGGUGCUCUGAGUGUGAUGGGUGGCCAUGCUCCCCCCCAGCAGGCCACAGAGCUGGGGCUCGUCCCCUCACCCCCCCUCCCUGCCCCCCAACUUGCACCAAAACCGGUAGAACAGAAUAUUUCUGCAGCUCCUGCUCUGCUCAUUGCCACCAUUUGGCAGCAGCUCGGUGCUUCUGGCAGCACCUGAACUCUCAAGCUCCACGCUGUGCCCUGGGGGGGACCUGCCCCCAUACUCUCCGUAUGGGGGGGGGGGGUUGCUACCAUUUUGGGAUGAGAUGGGGCAGAAGUGCAUUCUAUUCAAAACCAUAGCCCCUUGCAUCCGUGAGGUCAGGCAGUGCACACGUGGGCUCCACUUUGGGCCCCAAAACCCCAUAGCCCCCACCGCUCGGCUGGAUGGGGACUGGGAUAGCACAAAGUUGGGACCGGCAGCUCCCAGCCCUGAGCAACCCCAGCAGGGACUGAGUGGAAGGGAUGGGGCUGAGGGUGCUGGCACAGUGCUGGUGAAGCCCUUGGCCCCAUCCCCACGUGCUGCCUGCCCGCCGCACCCUGCCCUGUGCCGGCGUGUGGGAACAGGCUGAGAGCGAAACUGCAGCGCAACGCUGAGCGCAGAUCCUAAUCGGGGCCGCCAGCGCUCCUGGGC